ACAUCUUACUUUCAGUUCCUAAACUAAACUGAGGACUCAUCAUUUCAGCUUGAGCUCAGAGGAAGUGGCUUUUAACACCGUUUUUAGAUUAGUAUGAAACAAGACCUCAUUGUUGCUGCUGAAUGAUGCUGGUUAGUCCUAUUCAGUCUACUUAGGCUAAGGUUUACUUUGAGAAGAUAUGACAGCAGAAGAGACAUGUGACACUUUUGGCAAAUGGUUUCGCUACUUCUUGUUCAGUGUCUGGGUCAUCGACAUCGUCCUGAUAUUUUUGGUUUAUCACUUAGAAACAAGUUUGAGAGUAAAAAAAAGAAACUGCCAAAGGGAGAGAUGCCAAGAAGAAGACUAUGUCAACAAUGAAGCAAGUGGCUUUACAUGCGAACAAGCCAGCUGAAGCAGUAAUUGAACAAUUCAUGUCAAAUUGCU